rnacentral:tRNA from 1 species
UGGCUCAGUGGUAAAGAGUCUGCCUGCAAUGCAGGAGACCCGGGUUCGAUCCCUGG